GCCCGGUUAGCUCAAUCGGUAGAGCGUGAGACUCUUAAUCUCAAGGUUGCGGGUAGGUUCAAGUUACAUCUUGAA